rnacentral:rRNA from 1 species
GACGAACGCUGGCGGCGUGCUUAACACAUGCAAGUCGAACGGAAAGGCCCUGCUUUUGUGGGGUGCUCGAGUGGCGAACGGGUGAGUAACACGUGAGUAACCUGCCCUUGACUUUGGGAUAACUUCAGGAAACUGUGGCUAAUACCGGAUACGAGCUCCUGCUGCAUGGUGGGGGUUGGAAAGUUUCGGCGGUUGGGGAUGGACUCGCGGCUUAUCAGCUUGUUGGUGGGGUAGUGGCUUACCAAGGCUUUGACGGGUAGCCGGCCUGAGAGGGUGACCGGCCACAUUGGGACUGAGAUACGGCCCAGACUCCUACGGGAGGCAGCAGUGGGGAAUAUUGCACAAUGGGCGGAAGCCUGAUGCAGCAACGCCGCGUGCGGGAUGACGGCCUUCGGGUUGUAAACCGCUUUCGCCUGUGACGAAGCGUGAGUGACGGUAAUGGGUAAAGAAGCACCGGCUAACUACGUG